rnacentral:misc_RNA from 1 species
GAUGAAGAACGCAGCGAAAUGCGAUACGUAAUGUGAAUUGCAGAAUUCAGUGAAUCAUCGAGUCUUUGAACGCACAUUGCGCCCCCUGGUAUUCCGGGGGGCAUGCCUGUCCGGGCGUCAUUGCUGCCCUCAAGCACGGCUUGUGUGUUGGGCCUCCGUCCUCCUCCCGGGGGACGGGCCCGAAAGGCAGCGGCGGCACCGCGUCCGGUCCUCGAGCGUAUGGGGCUUCGUCACCCGCUCUUGUAGGCCCGGCCGGCGCUUGCCGACACAUCAAUCUUUUUUCCAGGUUGACCUCGGAUCAGGUAGGGAUACCCGCUGAACUUAAGCAUAUCAAUAAGCGGAGGA